UUGUGAGAUCUGGUUGUUUAAAAGUGUGUCACCUCCUCCCUCACUCUUUUGCUCCUGCUCUGGUCUUGUGACAUGCCUGCUCACUCUUUAUCUUCUGCCAUAAUUUUGCCAUGGCCCCCCGGCUUAAAUGUCAGAUAACCUGAGCAUGCCCAGAUCAACCAAGUGUGCAAACAUGCUGGUACCUGUUCUCAGACUGAGAGCAAAGACUGAAUUAAGAAGUGGACACUGGGAAGAUGCAAUGGCUCACUACUGGAAUCCCAACACUUUGGGAGGUUGAGGCAGGAGAAUCACUAGAGCCUGGGAAUUUGAGACCAGCCUGGGCAACAGAGCAAGACCUAGUCUCUACAAAAUAAAAAAUAAAAACUUAACUGGUUGUGGUGGCACACAACUAUGGCCCCAGCUACUCAAGAGGCUGAGGCAAGAGCAUCAUUUGAGCCCAGGAGGUCAAGGCUGCUGUGAGCCAUGGUCAUGCCAUGUGCUCCAACCUGGGCAACAGAGCACCACCCUGUCUCAAAAGAAAAAGGAGGAGAAGGAGAGGGAGAAGAAGAAACAGAGGAUCCAAUCAGAUCAAUCCCUGGCAUUUCCCCAUGGCAGGACCCAGUCAGAUCAUCACCUCACUGAAAGAUCCAAUCAGAUCACACCUCAUUACCUUAUGCUUAUAAAACCUGACCCAACCCCAAACUCAGAGAGACAGAUUUGAGCACUUCCUCUUGUCUUCUUGCUAGUUGACUUGCAAUAAAUCUUUCCUUUUCUCAAAAGCCAGUGGCAUGAUGUUGGCUUCUAUGUGCCUUGGGCAGUGAGCCCAUUGAUUGCUCAUUAAUAAUGUAUCCUCAAAGAGAUCACAGGGAAAGGACUCCUCCCAGAGGAAUUGAAUGAUCAGGUUGAUACUUCCUGCCAACCCCUGGGCAGUUGGCUAACCUCAAGUGAGGAAGAACCACUUCAAGUGAGAGCAGGUCAGGCCGGAAGAGAUCUUUGCAGCAUUGCCUUUUCUGGGGGUCAUUGAGUGGCAAGAGGGAAAGGAAGGGAAUGGGAAAGACCUCCUCACCCUCUCCCCAGUUACUCUGAAAUCCAAGUUUGAGAAGUUGUGUUUUGCCUCAAUCCCAGGAUACAUCAAGCAGGACACUUGACCCAAACCCCAUUCAUCUUUUAGAGCAGAACCAAAUCAUUCCUUCUUCCAUUAAACCAAUAUUUGUUGAACUCCUAUCAUGUGUCAGGAGCUGAUCUUGAUUCUCAUAGUGGAGAAAACAAAGCUUCUACCCUCAUGGAGUUUAUAUUAUUUUUGAGGAUGGAGAUGAAAAAAAAAGCUAACCUAAUAAUGUCAGGCAGUCAUAAUUACUACAAAAACAGACAAAGAAGAAUGGGGUGUAGAGAGCCCAGGGGAUCUUUUGGAUAGAGUAGUUGGCAGUGGCUUCCUGAGGAGCUGACCUUUCAGCAGAGACCAGAGUGAAGUGAGAAAACGUGCCUUGGGGGACAGAUGUCUUGGGAAGGGAAACAGCAUAAAUGGAGUUCCUUGUGGAGAAUGUUUUUCAUGUAUUCAAGCAAGGAGACAGAGUGGUAGGAGAGGGAGCAGGAGAAGAGGAAAAGAGGUUGUAACAUAAUAAUUAUAUUUCUUAAAAUAGCCCUUGUCUAGGGUUUCUGGCACAGAGCUCCCAAAGCCUUUAGAAUUUCCUGAGUAACAGAGGUGAGAGGAAUGUCUUUUGCUGUUCUUAAGGAGCCCCUUUCACCCAUAUCUCAGUUUAUGCUAAUAAGACUACUCUUGGAGGACCCCUGGAUAGCUUCAAGAUGGGGGCUGGUCACCAGAAAGACUAAGCCUUUGUUAUAAGCUUGGAGUUUUCAACUAACCUCGGGGAGGGGAGAGAUGUUGGAGAUUGAGUCCAAUCUCCAAUGGCCAAUAAUUUACUCAAUCAUGUCUACAUAAUGAAAUCUCCAUAAAAACCCCUAAACAAUGAGUUGAGAGGCUUCCAAGUUUGCAAACACUUCCAUGUGCCAAGAGGAUGGUGCACCUCAACCCCGUGGAAACAGAGAUUCCUGCACUUGGGACCUCACCCUAUGUACCUCUUCAUCUGACUGUUCAUUUGCGUCCUUUAUAAUCAACUUUAAUAGUAAAUAGAAUGUUUGCAUGAGUUCUAUGAGUCAUUCUAGCAAAUUAUUGAACCUGAACCUGAGGCAGGGGGAGGGUGAUGGAAAUCCUCAACUUUGUAGCCAAGUUGGAAGAAAUGGAACUGGUCACUUGCAAUUGGCAUCUCAGAUGAGGGCAGUCUUGGGAGACCAAGCCCUUAAACCUUUGGAGUCAGAGACUUACUCCAGGUAGUUAAUGUCAAAAUUGAAUUGUAGGACACCCAGUUGGUGUCAGAGAAUUGGUUGGUUAGAGAUAAAAACCCUGUAAAUGUCGAGGGUGCCCAAGAACCAGACUGUGAAAGACCUUACAGGCUAUGAAGAGAAGUUUGGAUUCUAGUCUAAGUAAUUGCUUUUGUAUCAUUUGUAUUUUUGGAAUACAACUCAGUAACCAUCUCUUUACAUACACGAAUUCCUUUAUUUUCAACAUUCACAAUGACUCUUUGAGAUCAGUAUCAUCAUGCCCAUUUUACAAUUAAGAUAAAAGUAAGGCUCAGAAAUCAUGGGUAGCUUACACACGGUAUGCAAAUUGGAAUGGACAUUUGAAUUCAGUCCUGCCUGGCAAUGACCUGACAAGGACAGUGGCAGGGAUAAGGGCGGACAUCUCCCCUGGCUGCACAUGGCUUCUUUGAAAAGCAGCAAUAAGAAUGUGCACUGGUGAAGUUCACAACAGGAGGCCACUGCUCAGAGAUUUCCCCUGGAGUCUCUCUGAAUCUGCUGUGAUUCUGGGGGCUGCCCAAUUCGCAAAU
rnacentral:lncRNA from 10 species